CAAUAACCCCGACAGGAGCGAACACGAACUCCGUUUUUUCAUCGGGUGAUUAAAGCGAAUGAGCGGGACUGCCG
rnacentral:ncRNA from 2 species